GCAAAUGACCCAAAAGGAGUCGCCUAGCAGAGGAAACAGAACUGCUCCCUGAGGGGGAAGUGUUGCUGUUUGACGGUCCUAGAAACCGUGGUGUGCGGCGCCCUGCAUCCCGCGUUCUCGCAGGUGGAGUCUGUGGCAGAGCUGCCUUCCCGCGAGAGCAUCAGCACUGCCCCUGCCCCUGGUCAGGGACCACCGCUUUGCUGCAGUAAUAGCCAACAGACCAUGGAAUAACUCUUCCCCAGGCUUGAUCUUUUGACCAGAAAGGAAUUAAAAAGAUGGUCCCUCGUGAUGGCUGCGCCCGUCAGCUGCGUGGAGCUUCCUUGAAGGAUUUUCUGAGCCGUGUGGACGUACAGUGAUUCUCGGCCGCCUGAGGAAUAACGCUGGUGGAAGCGCUCUCUCCGAUGACACACACCCGCCCCAUUUCUGGAUGCUAAAGGUGGUUUCAGGAAGGCCCUGGCUGAGUGCCUCGCGGAUUCCUGCAGCCUGGAUGCCCCUGGUGGACGGAGGACUGAAGCUUCCUGCCCUCGCUGCCGACAGGAAUGUUCGGUUGGGGCUCUGCCAGCUCCCUCGGGGGAUCCCUAUGAAACCAUCCUGUUCCACCUGGGAUUUAGGUGCCUUUCAUUGGGAAAAAAAAAAAAACCAAAAACGUAUCCAUUCAAUACUCCAGAGGGACUUGAAAACUGUUCUUCCCUGAACUAAAGCUGGAAUAUCAUGGGAUGUGAAGAAUCAAGGACCCGGUUCUCAGCGCCUGGACCUUGUGCCAGGCGGCAGUCCCUCUGUGUCCCCAGCUGAGGAAGGAGUCCACCGUCUCCUAGGUGGAUACACCACGCUUUCCCCGCUGGCAGAAGGUGAGGAUGGUCCAGCCAUCCUGCUGAGAUGUGUGGAGCCCACGCUGGGGAGAGGAUGGGCCGGGCUGAGGUUUCAGAGGCGUUCCGAGCUCCUGUGGAGAUUUGCUUCUCUCCAGCCUUGGGCCCUCUGCACUCUUGAACAUCUCAGGGCCCAGAAGAAAAAGACGAAAGCCAACCAGUUCUGGGAGCAGCCUGGGUGAAGAGAGGUAGGUGUCUUGUUUAGUGUCCAGAUUGAUUCCUGACCUCAACCAGCACGUGCCAGACGAGGCAGAAGCAGGAGGAAGGGUGUCUCAGCAACCCGAGUGACAUUUGUUUGUUUGCUCAUGUGCUGUUGUGGGAAUGUCAGCAGAUGCUCAGCAAGGAGGAGGAAGGUGCUUUUAGGACAGCCUUCCCAGGCUCUGAAGAGGGCGGACACACGGGGAGCCCCUAGCUGUCAAGACCCAGUGUGAGACUUUGCCACAGCUACAGUGAGGGAAGGGGGCAGGAAAAGUCGAGCUUAAAGUUGCUGGGUGAAAAAGAAAAAAAAAAAAAAGUUGCUGGGUGAACUCUUAGAAUUUAUUCUGCAGAAAUACAUGCAUAGUUGCAGGUGAUGUGAAUAGGAUCGUCAUCUCAACAUUGUUUGAAAUAGCAAACAGUGAGACAGUUUUUAUUUACUUAUUUCUCUAUUUACUUAUUGACAUACAAU